rnacentral:snRNA from 1 species
AUACCUUUCUCGGCCUUUUGGCUAAGAUCAAGUGUAGUAUCUGUUCUUAUCAGUUUAAUAUCUGAUAGGUGGAUCAUGUGUCCACUGUGAUAUUAAAUUUAUUUUUUAUGGGGAGGGCCCACCACAGUGGCUUGCCACUGGGGCCUUCAAGUGUAGCCCAGGCCUUGCACUGCCGCUUGGGCCUGGCGCACCCCAA